rnacentral:tRNA from 1 species
GGUGGUUCAAUGGUAGAGCACUUGCCUUGCAUGCAUGAGGCCCUGGGUUCGAUUCCUCAGCACCA